UGGUAUGUCUAUAUAAUACGAUACUUGAAAAGCAAUGAGAUACUUCUACAAAAACUUUGAUAAAGCGUGAAGUAACUUCAUAGAAUGACAUUGUUAAAGCUUGGUUUCUUUCUAGCUAUUCUUCUGAUGGCAGCAGCUACAAUCAAAGCUGCACCAAAUGUUGAUCUUGAUGUCUCAAAGAUGGCGAGAAGACUACUUCCACAACUUAAUACUUGUUUGAGAUCUUGUGAAAACGACAGUGGUUGUAGUGAUUGUUGGCUUUGCUGUACCUGCAAAGACUUUUAUGGAGCUAUUACACUCAUGUGUCAGGCAUAAAUUUAACAAGAGUAGUGCGUUGAAAUCAUAUAACAAUAAACUCAGUAGCAAAUCUGUUUAAUGCAUUUAUGUUUUAGUGUGAUUUCAAUGCUUUUUUUCCUUUUAUUUGUCGUCUUUAAUAAUUGUACGAAUAAUGAAGAAAGUGAGGCGUUACUUUCUAUUCAUAAAUAAAUGAAUUUUCAAAUUGAAUACCAUUUGAGCUAAUUUAUUUUAGUACUUUAA